AAAGGAAGAGAUGGAAAAGAUAUUAUUUUCCAUUUUGAUAGUUUGAGUAUUUGCUUACAAAUUAUGAACACAGUGCAAAAUCCAAGAGUCUUUCUGGGUUGCUACUGGAGAACAGCUCAGUUUACUUCACAUACUGCCAGAAGACUUGCCUUUCUUUUGACAGAGGACCUGGCAGUCCUCACCCCUGCCUCAAACUACUGUACUGCUUUUGAUACCAGUCCACACAGUAAAUCCGGCCAGCAGCAAAACCAGGAGCAACGUUUGGCAGCUCCAUGUCACAAAGGGCUCCUUCCAGGGGCUCACAGCACCGGGCACUUUCAAUCAGCAAAGCUUGCCGCUGCCAUCCCUGUUUACUGCUUUCCAGAGAGUGCUGCAAGAGCCCUUCAUUUUCCUCACGCACUCGCUGGUGACACUUGGGGAGGGGGGGUGCGAUGUACCCCAUCCCCGCUCUGCUCCCAUCGCCAUGAGCUGACACAUCCACUCCGGGAGCUCCCGGGGCUGCGGCGGUUGGGGAAACGGCGCCCUGUACUGUGACACCGCCCCCAGGCGGUGACGUCACAGACGGUCCGGCAGGGUAUCAGGCUCCGCCGCUAGAUGAGGCAGUCUGCCCGACGGAGCGAUCCCGAAGUACACGCGCGCGAGGCGGCGCGGCUGUCCUCAGCCCGGCUCCCCCUCAGAGAAACAUCACUCCUCCCCGGCUCCAGCUCAGCUCAGGGAUGCAUUCAAAGACAGUUGCAGUUCCAGACGUUUGGAAGGGAAGAAUACGAGCCCAUUUCCCAAGGAGCUCUCAGGGAACUAGGAAAAAAGAAGAGGAAGAGGAAGAAGAGGAAGA